rnacentral:rRNA from 1 species
UACGGGGGGGGCAAGCGUUGUUCGGAAUUACUGGGCGUAAAGGGCUCGUAGGCGGCCAACUAAGUCGGACGUGAAAUCCCUCAGCUUAACUGGGGAACUGCGUCCGAUACUGGAUGGCUCGAGUUUGGGAGAGGGAUGCGGAAUUCCAGGUGUAGCGGUGAAAUGCGUAGAUAUCGGAAGGAACAUCAGUGGCGAAAGCGGCUUCCUGGUCCAACACCGACGUUCAGGCGCGAAAGCGUGGGGAGCAAACAGG